rnacentral:rRNA from 1 species
CUAGAACGACUCUCGGCAACGGAUAUCUCGGCUCUCGCAUCGAUGAAGAACGUAGCGAAAUGCGAUACUUGGUGUGAAUUGCAGAAUCCCGUGAACCAUCGAGUCUUUGAACGCAAGUUGCGCCCCAAGCCUUCUGGCCGAGGGCACGUCUGCCUGGGUGUCACA